AACACAUUCGGCACGUACGCCGGAAAGAGGGGAAGAGUCAGAAAUGUCUUAAUGUUGCCAUAAAAGGGAAGAAUUAAGCGUUAAGAGUUGUUAUUGGAUUAACACCAAACACAACGACGAUCAAGGGGGAAGGCAUGGUGUCUUCGCAAGACACCAUGGACGGAGCAAGUGGACAUCCAGCCGACAUCUGCUGAGGAUGAGACUUCAGGACAUCUUCCACAUUUCUGCGAGAGGAGGACUAGCCGUUGAGCCCUUGAGCUGUGGAUGAGAAUUCGGACACUUGAAGACUUUCUCCCCGUUCACUCCGCUGGACAUGAGAUAGAGACUGAACACGAACGGUUUGGCCCCAAGGCCAGGAGACUCGUUCCCUCCAACCAACAUCAACAAGUAACAACGAAUUAGAUACUGAGCCUCAGCACUUAGAGAUGAGAGUAUUCCACGUGAUUUUAAUCAGCUUAAUCAUUUAUGGGAAACUAUAUCCUUUUAAUUAUUGUACCAUAUUUACUCUUUUGAUGAUCAUGCUGUGUGCUCGCCAUUGCUAAACGCUUUCAAUAAAUACCAACUUACAAUUAAAGGAAGAUUGUUAUCAUUGAGUUCUUUCAGCGACAGUAAAAGUUUGGAGUUUUGACAUUAAAACAUCCUUAAGGUUUUUAUAGGUUGUUCUAGCCAACUAAAAAGCAACAGAUCCCUGGGACCUUAUACUUGGUCACUAAAAUAAUCCUAGCACUUAACAAGAGCCCAGAUCACCCGAGGAGAGCUGCCGUUAACGGACGUGGCUGACAGAGGCAGUGUGGCGCACAGGGCUGUUCGGCCGGCUGCGCUGUUCAGCAGAAGCGGGGUAAGACGUUCGGACGAAGGCAGUGAGACAGCUAGGCGAGUCUCCUCACCACCAGCUUAAACAAGCGCGGGCUACUCCAUCGGGGUAAUACUCCAUAGUACCCGCACUCGGACCCUUUAAGACGGAGAGCUGGACCGGCACCUCCCUGGCAGGGGAAGUGCGCCUGGGAUCUAACAUGACCCAACUUUCUGAUUGGACGUGAAUUUUACAGUUCUGCUACAGCCAUAGAUUAGGGAUAGAUUUUUCCCGUUUCAGUGUCAGAUCAUUCAAUAUAUUCAUCGCUAUCGGUAUGUUAAGAGAGUUUCAAGUAGCUUUAGCUUUCCCUACACAGAGGCAACAGCAUGAUUUCUCAUAUUAAAUAAGCAGUAUUCUGACUGUUGAUUCAAUAUUAAUUUAUUUGAUUGAUUAGCUUUGCAGCUCAACCCAUUUGAUUUCAAAUUGUUCAUGACAGUUUUUCUUCCCCUGAAGUGACCUUAUAUUCAUGGGCAUUUGGGCAUAAACUCUCUGUGACAGCUGAUGCACCGUACAAACCAUUAAUACAAAGCAUGGCUCACCCAAAAUAUAUGUAUUUGCCUCGAUUAACCUUUAUUUUACCCCUACAGUCAGAGUCAGAGCAAGUUUGAUAACUUUUAAGUACCAAAAGAUUUGAUGACAGCUGGUGCAAGACACUAGCAGGGUAGGUUUUUCCAGAUCAGUCUUCAUUUCCUGACAUUUCCUGGAAGUUGUUCAACCUCCUCCAGGUUGUUAGACUAAACACAAACAAGUCAUCCAUUCAAAGAAACAUGCUGAUACUUUCUAUCCUGUUUCUGUUAGACCUGUUGUAUAACUCUGUCCAGGUGAGUUAAUUGCAAUUUUUUUUUUCAUUAAAGGAAAACUUCAUACAACACCAUGGGCCGGAUGUGUAACGGGUUCUCUUCUUCUGCCAUUUUUGAGGCACAGAUGUGAUUAAUUCACCCCCAAACCCAUGACUCUCACCCCUGGCAGUUAAGGGAGGGGGGAGACGUGAACAGAGGAUGAUUGUGCAUUAUUCUAUAGAGAGAUAAUAGUCUCAAAAAGGUCACAAAUGUGUAUCACAUGGUCUAUAAGUGAAAGAUAAGAGUUACAAAUGCGUACAAUGAUUUGUGCUUAACUUUGGGUAUUCACAUGCGUGUUCAAAUCCACAAACAAAUACAAAGCAGUCUAUCCACACAUAACUUUACAGAUCUAAUAAUGUUCACUUUCUUCCUGUGAGUACAAAUGUCUAAAAACGUGUGACAUUGUUUGUAUUCAAUUACAGAUUGUUAAACGCUCAACUUACAUGUGGCAGCUCUGAAAAGAUUCACAAAUGUGUCCUACGUUUCAGUGCUGCCCCCCACACACCUUCGCUGCCUCCCCUCCUCCCCCUCUCUCCCCUGUGGUGAGCACACCGGAUCCAAUCCCCCCACCUUCACAACACCUCCAUCCCCCCAUGGACAGUCAGAACCCCCUCCGCCGCUGGACUGUGACAAUGGCCCAGGAGACAGUUGGAGAGACUUCACCAACACAAGGCUGCGGGACCCGAUGGCAUCAGCCCCAGGCUUCUGAAGACCUGUGCCAGCCAGCUUUGUGCUGUUCUCCAGCAUCUCUUCAACCUGAGCCUGGAACAGGUACCGGUGCUGUGGAAGACGGCGAAGAAGUCGACUCCAUCCGGACUCAACGACUAGCAACCAGUUGCCUUCACAUCUCAGGUGCUGGAGAGGCUGGUCUUGGCCCACCCGAGGUCGCAGUGCUUUCAACAACAUCCAGCCACUGCUACUGGGUGACAAGCUGCGGUUGAUGGGUGUCGGUCUCCUGGAUCACUAACUACCUGACAGGCAGGCAACAGUUUGUACGACUGAGCCGUGUUCUGUCUGACAUGGUGGUGAGUGGUACAGGAGCUCAACAGGGGACUGUGCUGUCUCCUUUCCUGUUCACCGUAUACACCACUGACUUUAUGUACAACUCUGAGUUGUGCCACUUGCAGAAGUUCUCUGAUGACUCUGCAGUGGUUGGGUGUAUACGGGAUGGACAGGAGGGAGAGUACAGAGCGCUGGUAGACGGGUUUGUGGAGUGGGCGGGAGCAAUCACCUGCUGAUGAAUGUGGACAAGACCAGAGAGACGGUGAUCGACUUCAGGAGGAAGUUUUGUUUUUUUGGAUAAUUAGAUGACCUGUGGCAGAUGACCUGUGUGACGACGUAUGCCGAAUAAUCUCCCCCUUUUCAUUCUGGGGGAAGAGGUGGAGACAGUGGAGGACUACAAGUACCUGGGAGUCAACAUCGAAAACGGACUGAACUGGAAAACCAACAGCCUGACUGUGUACAAGAAGGGGAUGAGCAGAC